rnacentral:tRNA from 1 species
GCUUCAAUAGCUCAGUCGGUAGAGCAUCAGACUUUUAAUCUGAGGGUCCAGGGUUCAAGUCCCUGUUGAAGCG